rnacentral:rRNA from 1 species
AUUCCAGCUCCAAUAGCGUAUAUUAAAGUUGUUGCAGUUAAAAAGCUCGUAGUUGAACUUCAGACCUGGCCGGGUGGUCUGCCUCACGGUAUGUACUGUCUGGCUGGGUCUUACCUCUUGGUGAGCCGGCAUGCCCUUUACUGGGUGUGUCGGGGAACCAGGACUUUUACCUUGAGAAAAUUAGGGUGUUCAAAGCAGGCCUAUGCCUGAAUACAUUAGCAUGGAAUAAUAAAAUAGGACGUGCGGUUCUAUUUUGUUGGUUUCUAGAGUCGCCGUAAUGAUUAAUAGGGAUAGUUGGGGGCAUUAGUAUUCAGUUGCUAGAGGUGAAAUUCUUGGAUUUACUGAAGACUAACUACUGCGAAAGCAUUUGCCAAGGAUGUUUUCAUCG